rnacentral:rRNA from 1 species
AGUGAACGCUGGCGGUAGGCCUAACACAUGCAAGUCGAACGGCAGCACAGUAAGAGCUUGCUCUUACGGGUGGCGAGUGGCGGACGGGUGAGGAAUACAUCGGAAUCUACUUUUUCGUGGGGGAUAACGUAGGGAAACUUACGCUAAUACCGCAUACGAUCUACGGGUGAAAGCAUGGGAUCUUCGGACCUUGCGCGAUUGAAUGAGCCGAUGUCGGAUUAGCUAGUUGGCGGGGUAAAGGCCCACCUAGGCGACGAUCCGUAGCUGGUCUGAGAGGAUGAUCGGCCACACUGGAACUGGGACACGGUCCAGACUCCUACGGGAGGCAGCAGUGGGGAAUAUUGGGCAAUGGGCGCGAGCCUGAUCCAGCCAUACCGCGUGGGUGAAGAAGGCCUUCGGGUUGUAAAGCCCUUUUGUUGGGAAAGAAAAGCAGCAGGUUAAUACCCCGCUGUUCUGACGGUACCCAAAGAAUAAGCACCGGCUAACUUCGUG